rnacentral:snRNA from 1 species
GUCACUUCUUGGACUUUUGCUUACUAUCAUGUGCAGUAUAUGUUCUUAUCAGUUUAAUAACUGAUACAUCCUCUAUCUGAGGACAAUAUAGUAAAUGGAUUUGUGGAGCAGAGAGAUGGAAUAGAAGCUUGUUCUGUACACCUGUUAAUAAUUCUUCCCUGAAACUUCUGAGCUCUUAGAAUUUAUCCAUG